AACGAACGCUGGCGGCAGGCCUAACACAUGCAAGUCGAACGAUAAGCCACCUUCGGGUGGUGGAAAGUGGCGCACGGGUGAGUAACGCGUGGGAACCUACCCAGGGGUACGGAAUAACUCAGGGAAACUUGAGCUAAUACCGUAUACACCUUACGAGGGAAAGAUUUAUCGCCCCUGGACGGGCCCGCGUCGGAUUAGCUAGUUGGUGAGGUAAUGGCUCACCAAGGCUACGAUCCGUAGCUGGUCUGAGAGGAUGAUCAGCCACACUGGAACUGAGACACGGUCCAGACUCCUACGGGAGGCAGCAGUGGGGAAUAUUGGGCAAUGGGCGCAAGCCUGACCCAGCCAUGCCGCGUGGGUGAAGAAGGUCUUAGGAUUGUAAAGCCCUUUCAGCAGGGAAGAUGAUGACGGUACCUGCAGAAGAAGCCCCGGCUAACUCCGUG
rnacentral:rRNA from 1 species